rnacentral:rRNA from 1 species
AUUGAACGCUGGCGGCAGGCCUAACACAUGCAAGUCGGACGGUAGCACAGAGGAGCUUGCUCCUUGGGUGACGAGUGGCGGACGGGUGAGUAAUGUCUGGGGAUCUGCCCGAUAGAGGGGGAUAACCACUGGAAACGGUGGCUAAUACCGCAUAACGUCGCAAGACCAAAGAGGGGGACCUUCGGGCCUCUCACUAUCGGAUGAACCCAGAUGGGAUUAGCUAGUAGGCGGGGUAAUGGCCCACCUAGGCGACGAUCCCUAGCUGGUCUGAGGGGAUGACCAGCCACACUGGAACUGAGACACGGGCCAGACUCCUACGGGAGGCAGAAGUGGGGAAUAUUGCACAAUGGGCGCAAGCCUGAUGCAGCCAUGCCGCGUGUAUGAAGAAGGCCUUCGGGUUGUAAAGUACUUUCAGCGGGGAGGAAGGCGAUGCGGUUAAUAACCGCGUCGAUUGACGUUACCCGCAGAAGAAGCACCGGCUAACUCCGUGCCAGCCGCCGCCGUAA